rnacentral:rRNA from 1 species
GAUGAACGCUAGCGGCAGGCCUAACACAUGCAAGUCGAGGGGUAGCAGGAUUAAGCUUGCUUAAUUGCUGACGACCGGCGCACGGGUGCGUAACGCGUAUGCAACCUACCUUAUACUGGGGUAUAGUCCGGAGAAAUUCGGAUUAAUCCCCCAUAGUACUAAUGAAUCGCAUGGUUUAUUAGUUAAAGCAUUGCGGUAUAAGAUGGGCAUGCGUCCUAUUAGCUAGAUGGUGAGGUAACGGCUCACCAUGGCUACGAUAGGUAGGGGGCCUGAGAGGGUGGUCCCCCACACGGGUACUGAGACACGGACCAGACUCCUACGGGAGGCAGCAGUGAGGAAUAUUGGUCAAUGGGCGCAAGCCUGAACCAGCCAUGCCGCGUGCAGGAAGAAUGCCCUAUGGGUUGUAAACUGCUUUUAUUUGGGAAUAAACCUCUUUACGUGUAGAGAGCUGAAGGUACCAAAUGAAUAAGCACCGGCUAACUCCGUGCCAGCCGCCGCGGUAA